AUUAGGAGAGAAUAUUACAUUUAAUGUAACCCUAAGCCCCCCAGAACCACCUAAAACAGUCACCUGGAAUUUUGUUGGAGACACUAUAAUAAUUCUAUCUGGUGGCACUGAAACUGUAUUUGGUGAUUACAAAGGCAGGAUCACCCUGUCUAAAACUACUGGAUCUCUGGAGCUCAGGAAUCUGUCCCUGGAUGACAGUGGAGAAUACACAGUGAAUAUUAAUACUGCUGCAGAUGUAUCACUGAAAAAAACUACUAGACUGAAAGUAUUUGAAAGAAUAUCUAAUGUUAACAUCCCUAAUCCCACAAACCUGCCAAUUAUCGAGGGGAACUAUGUCACCUUAACCUGUGAUGCUUCUGGCUCCAUCAGUCCCAGAGAGUGGAUGAAGGCUGGUCAGCCUCUGUCUCCUAGUGACAAUAUUUUAUUCUCUGAGGAUAAUAAGACAGCAUCUAUCAACCCUGUGAAGAGAACCGACAGUGGGAUUUACAUGUGUCGAGUCAGCAACCCUAUCAACUCUGAUAAUGCCAAAUAUAAUCUGACUGUAAACUAUGGACCUGAUGGUAUAGAAAUCAAGGGUCCAACUGAAAUAGAAGUAGGACAGAAGUUUACAUUGACCUGCUCUGCUGACUCCAUACCGACUGCUAGUUACACCUGGAUGCACAAUGGGACAAAGAUACCUGGACAUUCACCUGAGCUCAUUUAAGGGAAGAAUGAAUACUUUGACAGUGGGAAUUACACCUGUACAGCAACAAAUUAUGUCACUGGGAACAACACAUCUGCGGUCCAUGAACUGUCAG